GGAUUAGAUACCCUGGUAGUCCACGCCGUAAACGUUGGGCGCUAGGUGUGGGUCCCUUCCACGGGGUCUGUGCCGCAGCUAACGCAUUAAGCGCCCCGCCUGGGGAGUACGGCCGCAAGGCUAAAACUCAAAGGAAUUGGCGGGGGCCCGCACAAGCGGCGGAGCAUGUUGCUUAAUUCGACGCAACGCGAAGAACCUUACCAAGGCUUGACAUGGCCUCAAAAGCCGCAGAGAUGUGGUGUCCGCAAGGGGGGGUCACAGGUGGUGCAUGGCUGUCGUCAGCUCGUGUCGUGAGAUGUUGGGUUAAGUCCCGCAACGAGCGCAACCCUCGUCCUAUGUUGCCAGCGGGUAAUGCCGGGGACUCAUGGGAGACUGCCGGGGUCAACUCGGAGGAAGGUGGGGAUGACGUCAAGUCAUCAUGCCCCUUAUGUCUUGGGCUGCAAACAUGCUACAAUGGCCGGUACAGAGGGCUGCGAUGCCGUGAGGCGGAGCGAAUCCCGGAAAGCCGGCCUCAGUUCGGAUCGGGGUCUGCAACUCGACCCCGUGAAGUCGGAGUCGCUAGUAAUCGCGAAUCAGCAACGUCGCGGUGAAUACGUUCCCGGGCCUUGUACACACCGCCCGUCACGUCACGAAAGUUGGCAACACCCGAAGCCGGUGGCCGAACCCGCAAGGGACGGAGCCGUCGAAGGUGGGGCUGGCGAUUGGGACGAAGUCGUUAACAAAGUAGCC
rnacentral:rRNA from 1 species